rnacentral:lncRNA from 1 species
AAAGCUGGAUCCUCCUCUCUAACUACAGGAAACUCAAAGGGGGGAGAGGCAGGAGGGUCUUGGGAGGGGGACCUAGGAGCCUCAGACUGUCUACUGGAUUGACCUCUAAAAUAUGGAUGUCUACGUGCUGUGGAUUUUCUACCCAUUUUUAGACAGACAAACAACAGCUAAAGAGGCAAUGAUCAAAACAGAAAAGCUAACCAUAAGCAACACAAUACCACAGACUCAACCCAUAAUCAACAAAACUCAUCAAUAAAAUAAC